rnacentral:rRNA from 1 species
UACGGGGGGAGCAAGCGUUGUUCGGAUUUACUGGGCGUAAAGGGCGCGUAGGCGGCCACCGCAAGUCGACUGUGAAAUCUCUGGGCUUAACCCAGAAAGGUCAACUGAUACUGCGGGGCUAGAGUGCAGAAGGGGCAACUGGAAUUCUCGGUGUAGCGGUGAAAUGCGUAGAUAUCGAGAGGAACACCUGCGGCGAAGGCGGGUUGCUGGGCUGACACUGACGCUGAUGCGCGAAAGCUAGGGGAGCGAACGGG